UACGUAUGGUGCAAGCGUUGUUCGGAUUUACUGGGCGUAAAGCGCGUGCAGGCGGGCUAUUAAGUCAGGUGUGAAAUCUUUGGGCUCAACCCGAAGACUGCACUUGAAACUAACAGUCUAGAGUCCCGGAGAGGCAGGCAGAAUUCCUGGUGUAGCGGUGAAAUGCGUAGAUAUCAGGAGGAAUACCAAUGGCGAAGGCAGCCUGCUGGACGGUGACUGACGCUCAUACGCGAAAGCGUGGGGAGCAAACAGG
rnacentral:rRNA from 1 species